GACGAACGCUGGCGGCGUGCUUAACACAUGCAAGUCGAACGGAAAGGCCCUGCUUUUGUGGGGUGCUCGAGUGGCGAACGGGUGAGUAACACGUGAGUAACCUGCCCUUGACUUUGGGAUAACUUCAGGAAACUGGGGCUAAUACCGGAUAUGAGCUCCUGCUGCAUGGUGGGGGUUGGAAAGUUUCGGCGGUUGGGGAUGGACUCGCGGCUUAUCAGCUUGUUGGUGGGGUAGUGGCUUACCAAGGCUUUGACGGGUAGCCGGCCUGAGAGGGUGACCGGCCACAUUGGGACUGAGAGACGGCCCAGACUCCUACGGGAGGCAGCAGGGGGGAAUAUUGCACAAUGGGCGGAAGCCUGAUGCAGAAACGCCGCGUGCGGGAUGACGGCCUUCGGGUUGUAAACCGCUUUCGCAUGUGACGAAGCGUGAGUGACGGUAAUGGGUAAAGAAGCACCGGCUAACUACGUG
rnacentral:rRNA from 1 species